rnacentral:rRNA from 2 species
GCAUUACUGUAGGUAUUGAUUGGUGCUUGCAUCAUGAUUUACAUUUGAGUGAGUGGCGAACUGGUGAGUAACACGUGGGAAACCUGCCCAGAAGCGGGGGAUAACACCUGGAAACAGAUGCUAAUACCGCAUAACAACUUGGACCGCAUGGUCCGAGCUUGAAAGAUGGCUUCGGCUAUCACUUUUGGAUGGUCCCGCGGCGUAUUAGCUAGAUGGUGGGGUAACGGCUCACCAUGGCAAUGAUACGUAGCCGACCUGAGAGGGUAAUCGGCCACAUUGGGACUGAGACACGGCCCAAACUCCUACGGGAGGCAGCAGUAGGGAAUCUUCCACAAUGGACGAAAGUCUGAUGGAGCAACGCCGCGUGAGUGAAGAAGGGUUUCGGCUCGUAAAACUCUGUUGUUAAAGAAGAACAUAUCUGAGAGUAACUGUUCAGGUAUUGACGGUAUUUAACCAGAAAGCCACGGCUAACUACGUGCCAGCAGCCGCGGUAAUACGUAGGUGGCAAGCGUUGUCCGGAUUUAUUGGGCGUAAAGCGAGCGCAGGCGGUUUCUUAAGUCUGAUGUGAAAGCCUUCGGCUUAACCGAAGAAGUGCAUCGGAAACUAGGAGACUUGAGUGCAGAAGAGGACAGUGGAACUCCUGGUGUAGCGGUGAAAUGCGUAGAUUUAUGGAAGAACACCAGUGGCGAAGGCGGCUGUCUGGUCUGUAACUGACGCUGAGGCUCGAAAGUAUGGGUAGCAAACAGGAUUAGAUACCCUGGUAGUCCAUACCGUAAACGAUGAAUGCUAAGCUUCGA